UCUUCGUUGAAUGCAUCCGUUUCUUUCUUCUCCGUGUUUACUCCCCCUUAAUUCAAUCACCACGAUAUAGCCUUGAAUGCGUGCUUUGAUUAGGAGUCGGUGAAUAUGAGAGUAUAAAUAAGUGAGCAUUCUUUCUCUUACGAUCAUCUUAUCGGCGGCGGAGAAGGCUAUGUCUGUCUGCGAGCUCAAAGAACAUCACACCGACGCUACAGAGACGGUUAACAACCUCUGUAAUAAGCUUAGACAGAGACGCCUCCAGCUCCUUAAUACAGAUGUGGCCAAGUACUCGGUGGCGCAGAUUGGUACCUUCUAACUCCUACUCUUAUCUAGAAAGUCUCAAAACCGAGCCUGGUGAGACAGAUUCAUCUCAGCGUUUGGUUUCUGAGCGCGGGAGCUAGCCAGAACAAUCGGUCUCGCAAGAUAAAAGAACUCGACAAGAAGGUGAGACACAAGUUGUGAGAUACAAAUUAUGUUUUGUUGACAUGUGAUCAAGCCAGUGAUUGAUGAAUCCUUGACACAUAUCACUAACAUUAUCUAUAGGCUAAAAGCUCAACGAAGAAGAAGAAUAAAAAGCUUGGAAUAGAAUGAGAAGCUUUUCAUAUAUUCAUGUUAGAGCUCGAGUAACUUAGCAUCUCACAUAUUUGCACAACUCUUUUUUUUUAAUCUUAAUCAGUUGAUUAAUUGCUAAUUCACUACUAAUUUUCAGAUUAUAAGAGAGAAGGGAGAAGAUUAGUGCAUGGAUGAAGCUGCUACAGGAACUGGUCCCAGACUGUGAUAAAGUUUGUCUCUCAGAUAAUGACUUCUGAUCAAUAUGCUAAUUAAUCUUUAUGUCUUCGUUUGUGCUUAACGACAUAAUAUUUUCUGAAAAGACACCCUAAAAGUAAGAAUAUUGGUUUGAUGAUAUAGUUUCUUUUUGUUAA